UGUAAUUUAGUUUAGUUAGAAUUUUUAUUUUUGGUGUAAGAGGGGUAGUUACAA
rnacentral:tRNA from 1 species